GGUAAACGCUGGCGGCGUGCCUAAAACAUGCAAGUCGAACGGACCGUCUCUUUCGGGAGGCGGUCAGUGGCAGACGGCUGAGUAACGCGUGGGUGACGUACCUGUUGGUGGGGAAUAACUGCCCGAAAGGGUGGCUAAUACCGCAUAGGUCCCUUGGUUCAGUGUGAGGGACAAAGCUUCGCAAGAGGCGCCAAUGGAGCGGCCCGCGUCCGAUUAGCUGGUUGGUGGGGUAACGGCCUACCAAGGCGUCGAUCGGUAGCUGGUCUCAGAGGAUGAU
rnacentral:rRNA from 1 species